CGUACCCUUCACUACGGAAUAGUCCCGGGAAACUGGGUUUAAUACCGUAUACGCCCUUCGGGGGAAAGAAUUUCGGUGAGGGAUCGGCCCGCGUUAGAUUAGUUAGUUGGUGGGGUAAUGGCCUACCAAGACUACGAUCUAUAGCUGGUUUGAGAGGAUGAUCAGCAACACUGGGACUGAGACACGGCCCAGACUCCUACGGGAGGCAGCAGUGGGGAAUCUUAGACAAUGGGGGCAACCCUGAUCUAGCGAUGCCGCGUGAGUGAUGAAGGCCUUAGGGUCGUAAAGCUCUUUCGCCUGUGAUGAUAAUGACAGUAGCAGGUAAAGAAACCCCGGCUAACUCCGUGCCAGCAGCCGCGGUAAUACGGAGGGGGUUAGCGUUGUUCGGAAUUACUGGGCGUAAAGCGCACGUAGGCGGAUUAGUCAGUCAGAGGUGAAAUCCCAGGGCUCAACCCUGGAACUGCCUUUGAUACUGCUAGUCUUGAGUUCGAGAGAGGUAAGUGGAAUUCCGAGUGUAGAGGUGAAAUUCGUAGAUAUUCGGAGGAACACCAGUGGCGAAGGCGGCUUACUGGCUCGAUACUGACGCUGAGGUGCGAAAGUGUGGGGAGCAAACAGGAUUAGAU
rnacentral:rRNA from 1 species